UACGUAGGGGGCAAGCGUUGUCCGGAUUUAUUGGGCGUAAAGAGCGUGUAGGCGGCCAUACAGGUCAGCUGUGAAAACUCGAGGCUCAACCUCGAGACGUCGGUUGAAACCGUAUGGCUAGAGUCCGGAAGAGGAGAGUGGAAUUCCCGGUGUGGCGGUGAAAUGCGCAGAUAUCGGGAAGAACACCUAUGGCGAAGGCAGCUCUCUGGGACGGUACUGACGCUGAGACGCGAAAGCGUGGGGAGCGAACAGG
rnacentral:rRNA from 1 species